AUUGAACGCUGGCGGAAUGCUUUACACAUGCAAGUCGAACGGCAGCACGGGGGCAACCCUGGUGGCGAGUGGCGAACGGGUGAGUAAUACAUCGGAACGUGCCCAGUCGUGGGGGAUAACGUAGCGAAAGUUACGCUAAUACCGCAUACGAUCUACGGAUGAAAGCGGGGGACCGUAAGGCCUCGCGCGAUUGGAGCGGCCGAUGUCAGAUUAGGUAGUUGGUGAGGUAAGGGCUCACCAAGCCGACGAUCUGUAGCUGGUCUGAGAGGCCGGGCAGCCACACUGGGACUGAGACACGGCCCAGACUCCUACGGGAGGCAGUAGUGGGGAAUUUUGGACAAUGGGCGCAAGCCUGAUCCAGCCAUUCCGCGUGCAGGACGAAGGCCUUCGGGUUGUAAACUGCUUUUGUACGGAACGAAAAGGCUCUGGUUAAUACCUGGGGCUCAUGACGGUACCGUAAGAAUAAGCACCGGCUAACUACGUGCCAGCAGCCGCGGUAA
rnacentral:rRNA from 1 species